rnacentral:tRNA from 1 species
GGGGUUAUAUUUUAAUGGUAGAAUUUUUGUUUUGCAUACAAAAGAUAUCGGUUCGAUUCCGAUUAACUCCA